rnacentral:rRNA from 1 species
UGAGAUAGGGUCUCCUAGGCCCGAACCUCCAACCCGCUGCGUACCUUCUAUGUUGCUUUGGCGGACCCGUGGGGGAUUACCCGCCGCCGGCCCCGGCUGGUGAGCGUUCGUCAAAGACCCCUCAAAACUCUGAUUGAUAGUGAUGUCUGAGAAUUAUAUCAUAAUUAAAACUUUCAACAACGGAUCUCUUGGUUCCGGCAUCGAUGAAGAACGCAGCGAAAUGCGAUAAGUAAUGUGAAUUGCAGAAUUCAGUGAAUCAUCGAAUCUUUGAACGCACAUUGCGCCCUCUGGUAUUCUGGGGGGCAUGCCUGUUCGAGCGUCAUUACAUCUCUCAAGCCUUGCUUGGUCAUGGGCUCUCGUCCUCUGGGACGUACCUGAAAAAUAGCGGCAGUUCAAGCCUGACUUCAAGUGUAGUAAUAAAAAAAUCCCGCUUUGGAAGCCUCGGGCUGCGUUCGCCAGACAUCACGUUUAAAAUAUCUUCAAAAGGUUGACCUCGGAUCAGGUAGGGAUACCCGCUGAACUUAAGCAUAUCAAUAAGCGGAGGAAAAGAAACCAACAGGGAUUGCCUCAGUAACGGCGAGUGAAGCGGCAACAGCUC